GGUCAGUGCAAUGCUUACACAUGCAAGUCGAUCCAAGUUACCUUCGGGUAAUGAGGGUGGCGGACGGGUGAGUAACGCGUAAGGAACUUGCCUCUUGGACUGGGACAACUGUUGGAAACGACAGCUAAUACCGGAUAUUAUGAGAUUCUCGCAUGAGAAACUUAUGAAAGCUAUAUGCGCCAAGAGAGAGCCUUGCGUUCCAUUAGCUAGUUGGUGGGGUAACGGCCCACCAAGGCGACGAUGGAUAGCCGGCCUGAGAGGGUGAACGGCCACAAGGGGACUGAGACACGGCCCUUACUCCUACGGGAGGCAGCAGUGGGGAAUAUUGGACAAUGGGCCCCAAGCCUGAUCCAGCAAUUCUGUGUGCACGAUGAAGGUCUUCGGAUUGUAAAGUGCUUUCAGUUGGGAAGAAGAAAGUGACGGUACCAACAGAAGAAGCGACGGCUAAAUACGUGCCAGCAGCCGCGGUAAUACGUAUGUCGCAAGCGUUAUCCGGAUUUAUUGGGCGUAAAGCGCGUCUAGGCGGAAAAUAAGUCUGAUGUUAAAAUGCGGGGCUCAACUCCGUAUUGCGUUGGAAACUGUUUUUCUAGAGUACUGGAGAGGUGGGCGGAACUACAAGUGUAGAGGUGAAAUUCGUAGAUAUUUGUAGGAAUGCCGAUGGAGAAGUCAGCUCACUGGACAGAUACUGACGCUGAAGCGCGAAAGCGUGGGGAGCAAACAGGAUUAGAUACCCUGGUAGUCCACGCCGUAAACGAUGAUCACUAGGUGGUUGGGGGUCGAACCUCAGCGCCCAAGCUAACGCGAUAAAUGAUCCGCCUGGGGAGUACGCACGCAAGUGUGAAACUCAAAGGAAUUGACGGGGACCCGCACAAGCGGUGGAGCAUGUGGUUUAAUUCGACGCAACGCGAGAAACCUUACCAGCGUUUGACAUCCUAAGAAGUUCCAGAGAUGGAUUCGUGCCGGCUUGCCGGACUUAGUGACAGGUGGUGCAUGGCUGUCGUCAGCUCGUGUCGUGAAAUGUUGGGGUUAGUCCCGCGACGAGCGCACCCCCUAUUGGAUGUUGCUACCAUUAGGUGGACCCUCAUGCAAACUGCUUCGAUAACAGGAGGAAGUGUGGUGAUAAGGUAAGGUCUUUUGGCCUUAUAGGUGGGUGAAAGGGUGCGUUAAGUGGCGUGAUCAGUGUUUGCGUU
rnacentral:rRNA from 1 species